CGCCAGACUCCUACGGGAGGCAGCAGUGGGGAAUAUUGUACAAUGGGCGCAAGCCUGAUGCAGGCAUGCCGCGUGUAUGAAGAAGGCCUUCGGGUUGUAAAGUACUUUCAGCGGGGAGGAAGGCGAUAAGGUUAAUAACCUUGUCGAUUGACGUUACCCGCAGAAGGAGCACCGGCUAACUCCGUGCCAGCAGCCGCGGUAAUACGGAGGGUGCAAGCGUUAAUCGGAAUUACUGGGCGUAAAGCGCACGCAGGCGGUCUGUCAAGUCGGAUGUGAAAUCCCCGGGCUCAACCUGGGAACUGCAUUCGAAACUGGCAGGCUUGAGUCUCGUAGAGGGGGGUAGAAUUCCAGGUGUAGCGGUGAAAUGCGUAGAGAUCUGGAGGAAUACCGGUGGCGAAGGCGGCCCCCUGGACGAAGACUGACGCUCAGGUGCGAAAGCGUGGGGAGCAAACAGGAUUAGAUACCCCAGUACCC
rnacentral:rRNA from 1 species